GGGGGAGGCUCUAGUGACAGAGGCUGCUGUCUAGCGGAGGCCAUUGGGGCAGGCUUCCCAAGAGGCGACGCUUGGACGUGAAAGAUCAGGAGCCGGUCAUGGAAAUGGUUGGGAAAGGUCAUUCCCAAUGGCACAGCAGAUGCAGAAGCCCCGGGGUGGGAGCUUGCUGAGGACGUUCUAAGUUCAAGGAGCCGGUGGGGCCAGGGGGCAGUGAGGGAGGGACGGCGAGAAGGGCAGGAGAUGGGUCAGAGAACGGCCAGGUGGGAAGUUCUUAGCCCCGGUUCUUUUGGUUGAAAAAUAACAGAAACCCCAUAUCAGAUCCACCUGGCCCUAAAGAAUUCUGAGCUGCCUCCUGGAGCCUGGGACAGGCACUGUCUGCUGGCGUCGUGAGCAGUGGGCCUGAGGCCCAGACAGUCUGCCCUCUCUGUUCCCCGCCCCCCGCCUCUCUGCUUCCGUCUCUCUCUGGGCUUCUCCAGGCAUUGGCUGUGCCAUAGCUCCUUCCUCCGCGCGGUCUGUAGGUCGCAGCCCUGGGCAUAGCCGUGGGCUGUCUCCAUCCCAGGACGGGGGGGUCUGAUAGGCCCAGCCUGGCGCAGACGGCUGCCUCAUCCAGUGAGCUCUGGCGAGGCGGUAAGCACGACACACACAUACUUCUCGUAGGAGGAGGCCUCUCAGAAGCUGGGCAGAUCCUCUUCUCUGCCUGCCAGGCCCGGGGCGUCACUGCCCUUCUUACUAACGGAACAUCUUCACGUUGUGGUUAAACGUGGGCCAGACAGCUGGAUUCAAAGCUCAGCCACUCGCUGGCAGUGUGACCUCGGGUUUAUCACUUCACCUCUCAGGGCCUCAGUUUCCGCAUCUGUAGAAUGAGGACGGUACAGGUUUCUACCUCGGGGGGCUGUUGGGAGCAUUGGACAGUCUGAGCCUGGUCCCUAGGAAGCGCCCAGGAGGCAGUGGGCAUCGUCGUCCUUGUUUCUCUGUCCUGAGGCUGGGUCGUGCUCCAUCGUUCAGGCGUCGUCAUCCUCGUCGUCGUCCUCGUUUCUCCGUCGUGAGGCUGGGUCGUGCUCCAUCGUUCAGGCAUCAUCGUCUUCGUCGUUGUCCUCAUUUCUCCAUCCUGAGGCUGGGUCGUGCUCCAUUGUUCAGGCUCAGACUUGGGAACGAGAGCCUGGAAUUUGGCCCCACUCUGCCACCCACCAGCUCUGCGACAUUGGCCACGUGUGUAACUUCCCGGGAGUUUUGGUUUCUUCGUCUGCAUGAUAGGGAGAUUAACAAGCUGAUGGGCUCGUUUGUUGGACGUGUGUGCUCUCUGAGGUUGGGGGGAUUGUGGAAACUCAGGGGAUCCGGGUGUCUGAGCUCAGGGCAGCCCUGGCCCCCGAUCGCCCCCAUGAGUGGAGCUGGUGGUGAGAGUGACGUUAGGAUCCACCACCCAUCCUUCACAAAGGCCUGGCCAGGCCCUCUGUGAGCACAGGUUCACCCUCUGUGCAAGCAAGACCCAGGUGCCCCCCGCCGUUCCCAGGCCCCUGGGGUGCGGGUCCAGGCGGGAGUGCAGAAACACGCACCUCCAUCAGGCGGCUUCUCGGGGGGAAGACAGGCCUGGGAGACGGCGUCUCAGGGCAUGUCGGGUUUGUGUCUGGUCAUAGCCAUUCCCCGGACGGUGACUCUGGAACCUGGCUGGGAAUUGGCACCACCUGGCCAAUCUGGUGAACAGUUGGGCUCUCUGGCCUCGCUCCUGGAGCCUCUGUUUGUGCAGGUGCGGCAGGGGAUCAUCUGCUGGUUUGGCCGCCCAGCAACCGCUUGCCGUUCUUCUGGUGGCUCCUUCUAGAAGCUGCUCUUCCACCUCCCAGUGCCCUCAUUGACUGAGCCCCACUGUGUGUGGACACUGCUUGCUCCAGGCCCUGGGCGUGUGGCAGUGAGCGAGACAGGCAGGAGGCCCUGGGCCCAAGUAGACUGAGAUCACAGCAUCUUAGAAGUUACAGAUGUCUUACAAGUUGUACGGGGGGUAACCGGGCCCUAGAUAGCGGGAUCGUAUCACUGCCCCUUUCUGAUGUCAGUAAUUUCUCUGUGAUUGAGAGAAUAUCAUUGUUCUUGGGAACAUCCCCUGACUUCUGUAGGGGCUAAAAAAUAAGAACAAAUUCAUGGAAAAGGGGAUUCAAACCAAGAUUGGUUGAACAAUUACAAACACGACUAACAUGUUUAUCAUUUUUCGCUUUGGGGGGCAUCAUCCUGAAGACCCAGCCAUAACAAAAUGCUUUGUUGUACA
rnacentral:lncRNA from 1 species